rnacentral:rRNA from 1 species
ACUCCUACGGGAGGCAGCAGUGGGGAAUAUUGCACAAUGGGCGCAAGCCUGAUGCAGCCAUGCCGCGUGUAUGAAGAAGGCCUUCGGGUUGUAAAGUACUUUCAGCGGGGAGGAAGGCGAUGCGGUUAAUAACCGCGUCGAUUGACGUUACCCGCAGAAGAAGCACCGGCUAACUCCGUGCCAGCAGCCGCGGUAAU